UGAGCAAUCUGCCCUUCUCUUCGGAAUAAGCGUGGGAAACCGCGUCUAAUGCCGAAUACGACCUCCUUUCGCAUGAUCGGAGGUGGAAAGCUCCGGCGGAGAAGGAUGAGCUCGCGGCCUAUCAGCUAGUUGGUGUGGGUAACGGCCCACCAAGGCGACGACGGGUAGCCGGCCUGAGAGGGCGACCGGCCACACUGGGACUGAGACACGGCCCAGACUCCGUACGGGAGGCAGCAGG
rnacentral:rRNA from 1 species